GUGUCAGCCGCCGCGGUAAUACAGAGGGUGCAAGCGUUAAUCGGAAUUACUGGGCGUAAAGCGUGCGUAGUCGGUUAUCUAAGUCGGGUGUGAAAUCCCAGGGCUCAACCUUGGAAUUGCAUUCGAAACUGAAUAGCUAGAGUUCGGCAGAGGGAAGUGGAAUUUCCGGUGUAGCGGUGAAAUGCGUAGAUAUCGGAAGGAACAUCAGUGGCGAAAGCGACUUCCUGGACCAGAACUGACGAUCAGGCACGAAAGCGUGGGGAGCAAACAGGAUUAGAAACCCCCGUAGUCC
rnacentral:rRNA from 1 species